CAUGCCUUACACAUGCAAGUCGAACGGUAGCAUGUCCUUCGGGAUGAUGACGAGUGGCGAACGGGUGAGUAAUAUGUAGGAAUAUACCUAUAGGUGGGGGAUAACUACUCGAAAGAGUAGCUAAUACCGCAUAACAUCUACGGAUUAAAGCAGGGGAUCGUAAGACCUUGUGCUAAUAGAAUAGCCUACAUCCGAUUAGCUAGUUGGUAGAGUAAAGGCCUACCAAGGCGACGAUCAGUAGCUGGUCUGAGAGGAUGAUCAGCCACACUGGAACUGAGACACGGUCCAGACUCCUACGGGAGGCAGCAGUGAGGAAUUUUCUGCAAUGGGCGAAAGCCUGACAGAGCAAUACCGCGUGAGGGAUGAAGGCCUACGGGUUGUAAACCUCUUUUCUCAAGGAGGAAGAUCUGACGUUACUUGAGGAAUAAGCAUCGGCUAACCCUGUGCCAGCAGCCGCGGUAAGAC
rnacentral:rRNA from 1 species